AGUGAACGCUGGCGGCGUGCCUAAUACAUGCCAGUCGAACGGAGAUUAGGUAGCUUGCUAUUUAAUCUUAGUGGCGCACGGGUGAGUAAUAUAUAGCUAACUUGCCCAUUACUAAGGGACAACAGUUGGAAACGACUGCUAAUACCUUAUACUCCGUAUCUAUAUAAGUAGAUACGGGAAAGUUUUUCGGUAAUGGAUAGGGCUAUAUCGUAUCAGCUAGUUGGUAAGGUAAUGGCUUACCAAGGCUAUGACGCGUAACUGGUCUGAGAGGAUGAUCAGUCACACUGGAACUGAGACACGGUCCAGACUCCUACGGGAGGCAGCAGUAGGGAAUAUUGCUCAAUGGGGGAAACCCUGAAGCAGCAACGCCGCGUGGAGGAUGACACUUUUCGGAGCGUAAACUCCUUUUCUUGGGAAAGAAUUAUGACGGUACCCAAGGAAUAAGCACCGGCUAACUCCGUG
rnacentral:rRNA from 1 species